UGUGGUAUUGGUUCGGCUCAUC
rnacentral:miRNA from 1 species